rnacentral:rRNA from 1 species
GACGAACGCUGGCGGCGUUCUUAACACAUGCAAGUCGAACGGAAAGGCCCUGCUUUUGUGGGGUGCUCGAGUGGCGAACGGGUGAUUAACACGUGAGUAACCUGCCCUUGACUUUGGGAUAACUUCAGGACACUGGGGCUAAUACCGGAUAGGAGCUCCUGCUGCAUGGUGUGGGUUGGAAAGUUUCGGCGGUUGGGGAUGGACUCGCGGCUUAUCAGCUUGUUGGUGGGGUAGUGGCUUACCAAGGCUUUGACGGGUAGCCGGCCUGAGAGGGUGACCGGCCACAUUGGGACUGAGAUACGGCCCAGACUCCUACGGGAGGCAGCAGUGGGGAAUAUUGCACAAUGGGCGGAAGCCUGAUGCAGCAACGCCGCGUGCGGGAUGACGGCCUUCGGGUUGUAAACCGCUUUCGCCUGUGACGAAGCGUGAGUGACGGUAAUGGGUAAAGAAGCACAGGCUAACUACGUG